ensembl:lncRNA
GCAGUUCAGUUUCAGAUGCAGAGCAGCGGGAAGCAGCUGGGCUCACUUUCGCUAACAGAUUUUGGCGCCAACGUGAGGCUGUGCUCUCGCGAUAUCUGGCUCCUGGGGGUUUCUCCAUUGGUGCUGCUGCCGUGACGACGUGCUAGGAAGGCUGUGAGGAGCCUCGCUGGCCCCAGGAAGAGGUUUGGGGAGGAUAUUCCUAGCAGCUGCCUAAAGCAUUGGUUUCGGGGGUCCUUCCUGCUUCUCCUCUGCUCAGCACUGGCUGCCCAUAUGUGCUUUUCCUUGGUGGAAUGAGAAGACACCUCUGGACAAGCUGACGAGCUCCCAGACCCAUCUCUUCAGUCAUUUCAGAUCCAUACGGACUGUAGCCCGCCAGGCUCCUCUGUCCACGGACUCUCCAGGCAAGAAUACUGGAGUGGGUUGCCAUGCCCUCCUCCAGGGGAUCAUCCCCAUCCAGUGAUCGAACCCAUGUCUCAUGUCUCCAGCAUUGGCAAAUGCUCUUCCUCAGUGACUCAUAUUGAAAUCCAUGAUCAGCAUAAACCCCAGUGGCUUUUUCCAGUUAUUAACUGAUGUUGAGUUAGGUGUGCCACUGUGCUGAG